UACGUAGGGGGCAAGCGUUGCCCGGAUUUAUUGGGCGUAAAGGGCGCGUAGGCGGCUACGCACGUCCGUUGUGAAAUCGCUCGGCUCAACUGGGCGGGGUCAGCGGAUACGGUGUAGCUGGAGCAAGCUAGGGGGCAAUGGAAUUCCCGGUGUAGUGGUGGAAUGCGUAGAUAUCAGGAGGAACACCGAUGGCGAAGGCAGGUCUCUGGGCUGACACUGACGCUCAUGCACGAAAGCGUGGGGAGCAAACAGG
rnacentral:rRNA from 1 species